rnacentral:lncRNA from 1 species
GACAAAACUAUAAACCUCAAUACCCCUUCCAGUAUGAAGGUGAAGCGGGCCGUCCCCAUACCUCGUCCGGUAUGAGUGUCAAAACAUUUAAAGUCUCCAUACCCCGUCCGAUAUGAGAGAUCACGUUCCCGGUAGGGUUCCAUAUGGACCCGAUCCGUCCACCAUCUCCCACGAUAUCUAGUGAGGCUGUUGACUUAUCCGUUC